GAGCAAAAUGAGACAUGUUAUUAUGAUAAUACAGUAAUACAACACAAUAGUUUCUUACUUGGAAAUUUGGUUGGUACAGCUGUAUCUUUAAUACGACCUCGCGACGGGACUUCAAUACGUUUACCAUUCACAGUUUUUAGUACAGUCUUCAGAAUGUCACUGUCAUUGAAAUGUAUAUCACACAGCUUACUACUUUUCGUUAUGUCACUUGGGUUUCGAGGAAUAGCUCUUUCCAAUAACGAUAGUUUCUACAUCUUUUGAGAAAGAAAAGAAAGACCUAUUUUCUUCAACCGUAUUGUUUGGAUUUCGAGAAGUACAACCGAGAGUCAAGCCAUUACAACUGGGCACUUUGAUGUAAACAAUAGCUAUUCCACAAUCCACUAUUUCCCUUUUUCACUCGCGAUCGCAAAUGCGGUGACGCGAAAUAUCAAAAAAACUAAGCAGGAACCGUGUGAUACUAUGGCUCUUGGCUUUUGGGGGGAGCAGAAGUACUUGCGAGCUUGGUCCCAGCAGACCCGCGGUUAGGGUAUUGGGGGACAAUACUCCUUACCAGGACGCAGUCAAGCAGAGGAAUCUUACUUCGUGGUGAAAGUUAGUUUUAAAAGAGUGUCAACAGAAUUGUUGAAAGGUUCACUCGAUUUCUCGUAAAUCUCCAACAUUUUUGCAAGAUUCAGUUGGUACGAAAUGUCAUCAGCAUCUACAACUGAGAAUACAUUUCAAUAAGACACCUGAUCAAAAUAAAUGUGUCAAACAAUUUAA